GAUGAACGCUGGCGGCGUGCCUAAUACAUGCAAGUCGAGCGAACAGACGAGGAGCUUGCUCCUCUGACGUUAGCGGCGGACGGGUGAGUAACACGUGGAUAACCUACCUAUAAGACUGGGAUAACUUCGGGAAACCGGAGCUAAUACCGGAUAAUAUAUUGAACCGCAUGGUUCAAUAGUGAAAGACGGUUUUGCUGUCACUUAUAGAUGGAUCCGCGCCGCAUUAGCUAGUUGGUAAGGUAACGGCUUACCAAGGCAACGAUGCGUAGCCGACCUGAGAGGGUGAUCGGCCACACUGGAACUGAGACACGGUCCAGACUCCUACGGGAGGCAGCAGUAGGGAAUCUUCCGCAAUGGGCGAAAGCCAGACGGAGCAACGCCGCGUGAGUGAUGAAGGUCUUCGGAUCGUAAAACUCUGUUAUUAGGGAAGAACAAAUGUGUAAGUAACUAUGCACGUCUUGACGGUACCUAAUCAGAAAGCCACGGCUAACUACGUG
rnacentral:rRNA from 1 species